UACGUAGGGUGCGAGCGUUAAUCGGAAUUACUGGGCGUAAAGUGUGCGCAGGCGGCGUCGCAAGUCGAGUGUGAAAGCCCCGGGCUUAACUGGGAAAUUGCAUCGGAAACUGAUCGGCUGGAAGGUGGGAGAGGGUAGCGGAAUUCCCGGUGUAGUGGUGAAAUGCGUAGAUAUCGGGAGGAACACCAGUGGCGAAAGCGGCUACCUGGCCCAUUCUUGACGCUGAGGCGCGAAAGCUAGGGGAGCAAACGGG
rnacentral:rRNA from 1 species